GUCUACGGCCAUAUCACGUUGAAAACACCGGUUCUCGCCCGAUCUCCGAAGUAAAGCAACGUCGAGCCCGGUCAGUACUUGGAUGG
rnacentral:rRNA from 1 species